GGAACCUUACCCGGGAUUGAAAUGUACCUGACGAACUGCGAGAGUGGUUUUCCAGCAAUGGCAGGUAUGUAGGUGCUGCAUGGUUGUCGUCAGCUCGUGCCGUGAGGUGUCGGCUUAAGUGCCAUAACGAGCGCAACCCUGACUGUCAGUUGCUAACAGGUUAAGCUGAGGACUCUGGCGGGACUGCCGGCGUAAGCUGUGAGGAAGGUUGGGAUGACGUCAAAUCAGCACGGCCCUUACAUCCGGGGCGACACACGUGUUACAAUGGCAGGGA
rnacentral:ncRNA from 1 species